AGCAGCAAUAAAGUGUGUGCCUUUCCUCCAGGUUUCAGCUCUGGGAACUAUUUUGACAGUUGGAUCCACGGAAAAUCAGGUCUGCUUCAAUCGUCGAGUUUGAAAAACAACAACAACAACAAAAAACAUGCCUACAAACUUGCCUUGAAACGGAGUGAAUGUGUGGUCCUUAAAAUGGUUUAAAACUUAUUUGCAUAAGUAACUUCAGAAAAAAACAACAUGGGGAAGUUCCAGAAUUA